rnacentral:rRNA from 1 species
AACGAACGCUGGCGGCAGGCCUAACACAUGCAAGUCGAGCGAGAUCUUCGGGUCUAGCGGCGGACGGGGGAGUAACGCGUGGGAAUAUGCCCUUCUCUGCGGAAUAGCCUCGGGAAACUGAGCGUAAUACCGCAUACGCCCUUUGGGGGAAAGAUUUAUCGGAGAAGGAUUAGCCCGCGUUGGAUUAGGUAGUUGGUGGGGUAACGGCCUACCAAGCCGACGAUCCAUAGCUGGUUUGAGAGGAUGAUCAGCCACACUGGGACUGAGACACGGCCCAGACUCCUACGGGAGGCAGCAGUGGGGAAUCUUAGACAAUGGGGGCAACCCUGAUCUAGCCAUGCCGCGUGAGUGAUGAAGGCCUUAGGGUUGUAAAGCUCUUUCAGCUGGGAAGAUAAUGACGGUACCAGCAGAAGAAGCCCCGGCUAACUCCGUG